rnacentral:rRNA from 1 species
GAUGAACGCUGGCGGCGUGCCUAAUACAUGCAAGUCGAGCGAACGGACGAGAAGCUUGCUUUUCUGAUGUUAGCGGCGGACGGGUGAGUAACACGUGGAUAACCUACCUAUAAGACUGGGAUAACUUCGGGAAACCGGAGCUAAUACCGGAUAAUAUUUUGAACCGCAUGGUUCAAAAGUGAAAGACGGUCUUGCUGUCACUUAUAGAUGGAUCCGCGCUGCAUUAGCUAGAUGGUAAGGUAACGGCUUACCAAGGCAACGAUGCAUAGCCGACCUGAGAGGGUGAUCGGCCACACUGGAACUGAGACACAGUCCAGACUCCUACGGGAGGCAGCAGUAGGGAAUCUUCCGCAAUGGGCGAAAGCCUGACGGAGCAACGCCGCGUGAGUGAUGAAGGUCUUCGGAUCGUAAAACUCUGUUAUUAGGGAAGAACAUAUGUGUAAGUAACUGUGCACAUCUUGACGGUACCUAAUCAGAAAGCCACGGCUAACUACGUG